rnacentral:rRNA from 1 species
GCAUAUCAAUAAGCGGAGGAAAAGAAACCAACAGGGAUUACCUCAGUAACGGCGAGUGAAGCGGUAACAGCUCAAAUUUGAAAUCUGGGCCCCUCGGGCCCCGAGUUGUAAUUUGGAGAAGAUGCUUCGGGUGCGGCGCCGGUCUAAGUUCCUUGGAACAGGACGUCACAGAGGGUGAGAAUCCCGUACGUGAUCGGCCGCCUGUGCCCGUGUGAAGCUCUUUCGACGAGUCGAGUUGUUUGGGAAUGCAGCUCAAAAUGGGUGGUAUAUUUCAUCUAAAGCUAAAUAUUGGCCAGAGACCGAUAGCGCACAAGUAGAGUGAUCGAAAGAUGAAAAGCACUUUGGAAAGAGAGUUAAACAGUACGUGAAAUUGUUGAAAGGGAAGCGCUUGCGACCAGACUUGCGCAGGGCCGAUCAUCCGGGGUUCUCCCCGGUGCACUCGGCCCCGCGCAGGCCAGCAUCGGUUCCGGUGGCUGGACAAAGGCCUUGGGAAUGUAGCUUCUCUCGGGGAGUGUUAUAGCCCUCGGCGCAAUGCAGCCUACCGGGACCGAGGACCGCGCUUCGGCUAGGAUGCUGGCGUAAUGGUCGCAAGCGACCCGUCUUGAAACACGGACCAAGGAGUCUAACAUCUAUGCGAGUGUUUGGGUGCCAAACCCAUCCGCGUAAUUAACGUGAACGGAGGUGAGAGCCCUGAAGGGUGCAUCACCGACCGGUCCUGAUGUCUUCGGAUGGAUCUGAGUAAGAGCAUAGCUGUUGGGACCCGAAAGAUGGUGAACUAUGCCUGAAUAGGGUGAAGCCAGAGGAAACUCUGGUGGAGGCUCGCAGCGGUUCUGACGUGCAAAUCGAUCGUCAAAUUUGGGUAUAGGGGCGAAAGACUAAUCGAACCAUCUAGUAGCUGGCUCUGCGGA